rnacentral:rRNA from 1 species
UACGAAGGGGGCUAGCGUUGCUCGGAAUCACUGGGCGUAAAGCGCACGUAGGCGGAUUGCUAAGUCAGGGGUGAAAUCCUGGAGCUCAACUCCAGAACUGCCUUUGAUACUGGCGGUCUCGAGUCCGGGAGAGGUGAGUGGAACUGCGAGUGUAGAGGUGAAAUUCGUAGAUAUUCGCAAGAACACCAGUGGCGAAGGCGGCUCACUGGCCCGGUACUGACGCUGAGGUGCGAAAGCGUGGGGAGCAAACAGGG